UCUGGCAUUCUGAGUGUAAGGGAGCGGCCGAAAAGCGACACGGCGGUGAGAGUGGAGAUGGGUCGAUAAGGAUGAGAGUUGGGAUGAUUGAAAAAGGUGGGUCUUGGUAUAUGAAGGUGUUGAUAGCUCAGCUACUGCCAUGGUGUUGGCGUGGUAUCAGAGACAAAAGAUGAGAGGGAGAGAGAUGGGCAAACGGGUUUUGAAGAGAAGGUCUGUAUGAAGAUAGAGACAGAGAUUGGUUUGGAGGGAGGGGAAGAGAGGGAGGGUGAUGAAGGAAGAGAGUGUGUUGGAAAAGAUGGAUUUUGAAAUAUUAGUCUAAGGCCAUGCAAAUGACACUUGUCAAUACUCC